rnacentral:lncRNA from 1 species
AGUUCGCCAGGCAGGAAGUGCAGUAGCAGGACUCUGGCUUUCCGGAGAGUCUCUGUUUUUCCUUUUUUUUUUUCCCUUUUCGCCCAAUAAAUACCAUUUUUCUCACCCUUCAAAGUGUCUGCAAGCCUAAUAUUUCAUGGAUGUUUGACAAGGACCCCGUCUUUAGCUGAACUAAGGAGAAAGUCCUGCAACACACACAUGGAGCUCAGCAAACGGAGGAUGUAGUAGGUAGAAUUUUUAAAUGGCCUCUAUGAUUUCUUUGCCUGGUAUCCACAUCUUUGUGUCAUCCUCUCCCCUUCAGUUGUGGGAGGGAUGUAUAACUUGCUUCUGAAAAGUAGAAUAUAGUAAAGGUGAAGAAAUCCUGCAGUUGAGGUGAAGUUAAUGAAAAGGGAGAUAAUCCUGGGUGGGCCUGACCUAAUCAGGUGAGUUCCUGGAGAAUGUCAAGUAAGAAGCCUAGAGUCAGAGACUCACUCUUUCCUGUUAGCCUUGAAGAGGCAAGAUGCUUCAGUUCUACAGCUGCAAGGAAAUCAAUUCUGACAACAACCACGUGUGCUUGGAAGACCACCACCACCAUCACCACCACCACCACCCCCCGCCCCGCCCCUGCCCCUCUGAGCCUCAGAUGGGACGCUAGACCCUCCCUGAUUAUAGUCUGCGAGACACUGAACCUGGACUCCUGGUCUAUGGGAGCUGUUUUAAGUUUUAAGCUGUUAAUUUUUGGUAAUUAGUUAUGCAGCAAAUGGCUGUGUUGUUAUUCCCAUCCCCCUCUUCCCACCUGUCUCCUUUAAAUAAAAACCAGCAUUUCAGGUCUGAACUGUCAUGACUCCAAUCUGCUUGUCAAGAUGGACUCUAAGUAGAGUCAGGUGAAGAGGCCAGGUUAGCUAUAUUCCUUCUUAUUUUCCAUCCUUCAGUCAUGGCCUGAGCCUUUUCCUUCCCUGAAAUCUAAUGAGAAUCACUCCUCAGCUGAUUAUCAUGGACUCGAUGGCUUGUCAUUAAGAAUACCUCAGCCACAGGCAGCAGUGAGAAGAGAAGUGAAGGAGGAGGGGUGUUUAGGAAAUGCCUGGUCCUGAGGGCGGAAGCAGUUUUGAAGUUGCACCUGCUCUGACAGAAAACUCGAGUGUAAGACUUACUGAUGUCAUUCUCCUCAGUUCUUCAUGGACGUAGGACUGUCAUGGGGAAAUUAGGCAAAGAUUCUGCUUUGGCAGGAAGAACUAUGGCUCCCUGCCCACAUCCCUUCGUUCAGCUCCCUCCCCCAUUGGCCAGAAUACACCAAGUUGUCAGCACCAGCCGGCCCGUGGCUAUUCAGAAUGUCUCUGGAAACCAUGAAGGCUAGGAGGCAUGAGAUCUGGGUGCUGGGGCUGGUGAGUCCUCUAGUAACCAACCCAACUGUAAAGAAGUAAUAAUAUAUGGCAUCUGCAUAAUGGUCUACGGCUUCCAACUUGCUUUAAGCUCUAUUUAUCCUUUGGGUCUCUCAUCAGCCCUGGAAGAAAAGCAGUUGUCUUUGUCAGGCCUCUGAGCCCAAGCUGAGCCAUCAUGUCCCCUGUGACCUGCACGUACACAUCCAGAUGGUGGGUUCCUGCCUUAACUGAUGACAUUCCACCACAAAAAAAGUGAAAAUGGCCUGUUCCUGCCUUAACUGAUGACAUUGUCUUGUGAAAUUCCUUCUCCUGGCUCAUCCUGGCUCAAAAGCUCCCCCACUGAGUACCUUGUGACCCCCACUCCUGCCCGCCAGAGAACAACCCCCUUUGACUGUAAUUUUCCUUUACCUACCCAAAUCUUAUAAAACGGCCCCACCCCUAUCUGCCUUUGCUGACUCUCUUUUCGGACUCAGCCCGCGUGCACCCAGAUGAAGAAACUGAGGUCCAGAGAAGUUAAACGACCUUCCUAAGAUUACACAGCUUAGUAAGUGGCAGAACCACAGCUGGAAGCCAGGUCCUUCCUCACGCAAGUCCUGGCUCAUUCAUUCCUCUUCCAAAGACUUGCUGAGCACCUUCUAGGUGCCAGAUGCGGUGCUGGCUCCUGGGGACAUGGGAGUGAACAGGCCAGGCGUGGCCCUGAACCAUCAAAUAGACAACCACAGAAAUAACAACAACAAAGACAAAACCGGGCCCUUCCACACAGUAGCUGGAACACAAAGGAAGAUCAGCCAAGCCUCAACAUAAUCUCAUAAAAAUUCUUCAAAUAUCCCAUUGUUAUGGAUUCAUACAUCAGGAAAGCAGAUGCCAAGAACCUGAACACCUUCUACUGGUAACAUAUAUUUUGGCGAGCCAGCCUGGAGACAAGACCACUAUGGGCAACUUCCUGUCUAUUCUACCUGGUGUCACUGUGGACAACUUCCUAUCUAUUCCACCCGAUUCACCGCUUGGCUACAUCCUCCACCAUUGGGAUGAAUUUGACCCUAACAAUCUAAAGAAAAGGCAUAUGAUUUUUUACUGCAAUAUUGUUUGACACAAUUAUGAGCUGCCCAAUCCGGAACAAUGGGCAGUCAAUGGUAGCCUUAAUUAUGAUACCAUCCUGUAUCUAGACCUAUUUUACAAGAGGCAGGGCAAAUGGUCAGAAGUCCCACAUAUACAGGCCUACAUGACCCUAUACGAAGACCUAAGAAUCUAGGAAACUCCCAGAACCCAUCCCCCGAAGGAAAGUUCUGGGGCAGAACUAGAUAUUAUAGAUGAACCCCCUUUUACAAGGGAUACCUGUCUCUCAGAGUGAGCAGUGACUGUCCCCAUAUAACCCCUCACCAAGUGCUCCUGAGGCUGAAACCCAGGGGCAAACAUGGGGAACCCUACUAAGUCCCCCUCACACUUGGAGGGGAACACUGUAUUCAACUCUCUAUCCAGCCCUGCUACUCUCAGAGAAAUAGCAGGGGCUGAGGGGCCAAUCCUAGUGUGGGUCCCCUUCUCUAUGAUUGAUAUACAACAAUGUAAGGAAAAGCUAGGAAGCUAUUCUGAGGAUUCCGGGAAGUUUGCAGAUGGGUUCCAAACUUUGACCUUAGCCUUUGAUCUCUCAUGGAGAGACGUUCAAUUCACUCUAGCAACCUGUUGCACCUCCUCGGAAAAGGAACGAAUCUUUGAGGCUGCCCUCCGAGAAGUGGACGAAUUAUUCACCCAAAACCGUAAAGGCAGUCACCCAGGCCCAGCCACAGUUCCCACUACGCAUCCUAAUUGAGACCAAGACACCCCCGCAGGAAGGAACAACUGGGCUAAAUUUCUUGAGGCUCUUGGAGGAAUGAGAAAGGGAAUAACUAAGGCAGUAAAUUAUGAUAAAGUAAGGCAGAUUACACAAGGCAGGGAGGAAAACCCAGCUGUGUUUUACGGCAGGCUGCGGGAAGCCUUUAAAAAAUAUAUACUAAUUUGGUCCCUUCCUCUCCUGAAGGCAAGUUAUUAAUGGCACAACGUUUCAUUAGCCAAUCCACACCAGACAUUAGACGUAAGCUCCAAAAGCUACACAUGGGGCCACAAACUAACCAAAAUCAGCUUCUUGGUACUGCCUUCAUGGUGUAUAACAAUCGUGACCUGGAGGAAGGAGAAGGGAAACAGAGUAAAGAAAAACGGCAAGCCAAAAUUAUGUUAGCCAUCACUGGUGAUGCCCUAAAUGCACAAAGAUUGUCCAAGGGAAACUCAAAGGGCCAUAAGGAUAAUGCCAGCAAAGGCUCUUGCUUCAAAUGCAAUAAAAGUGCGAUUGGGCACAGGAAUCCACUAAGCCCCCGCCAGUCCCCUGCCGUCAAUGUAAAAGCACCAGUUGUGGCUCCUGGCCCUGGAGAAUUGACUGUCCCUGCUCCCACCAAGGGGCUCAGUCAGUCAAAACUCUGGCAGUGCACAAGGAGGAAUCAGAUGAAGACUGAAGGGGCCUGGGGCCUUCCUCACUGCCCCGUCUAGGAACAUUGUAAUUACUACUGAGGAACCCUGGGUAACUCUGGACAUCAUGGCCACCCAAAUUCAGUUUUUAUGUGAUACCAAGGUGAAUUAUUCUGUACAACUGCUUAUGCAGGAAAACUUUCCUCCCGGUCCAUGAGUGAUAUUGGAUGGAAGGGAAGCCACAAACAAGAUUCUUACUCCUCCUUUGGUUUGUCAAUUUGAGAAACAAAUCUUCCAACAGGAAUUUUUAGUAGUACCAAGCUGCCCAAUUCCCCUGUGGGAAAGAGAUAUUAUGGUGAAAAUAGUGACACUACUGCAAUUUAAGCAAUAUUAGCAGGUGAAACUGCUAAUAGUAAGAAAUAAGGCAAUGUCCCAGACCAUGUCAAUAAACAGGUUAACCCACUGGCAUGGUAUACUGGAAACCCAGGGAAGGCUAAAACAGCAGUGCCAGUCAAAAUACAGCUUAAAGACCCCAGCCAUUUUCCCAAUGGAAAACAAUACCCAGUUGAACAGGAAGCAAGCAAAGGUCUAGCUCCCAUAGUUGAGAUAUUACUUACCCAUGGACUCUUAAAACCCUGCAAUUCUCCCUGCAAUACCCCCAUCUUACCUGUUCUCAAGCCUGGGGGGAAUACCAGCUAGUACAGAACCUCAGAAUAAUGAAUGAGGCUGUUAUCCCCGUCCACCCAUUGGUGGCAGAUCCAUAUGCCCUCCUGGCUCAGGUGCCAGGGCAUGCAAAAUGGUUCUCAGUCCUAGACCUUUCUUCUCCAUUCCUCUGGCCCCGAGCCCCCCAGUACCUUUUUGCUUUCGAAUGGGAAAAUCCUAAUACCAGAUAAAAACAAUACACUUGGACAGUGCUUCCUCAGGGCUUUCGGGAUAGCCCCCACUUCUUUGCCUGAGCAUUAGAGCGGGAUCUGAGGGAUUUCAAGUUAGAAAAUGGAGGUAUUCUUCAGUAUGGGGAUGACCUUGUGUGUAGCCCAACCUAGGAGGUUUCUGACCAAAAUACUAUAAAAACUUUGAAUUUCCUGGCAGACAGAGGAUACAAAGUGUCCAAAAAGAAGGCUCAGAUUACCCUCCAAUGGGUCCACUAUUUAGGAUAUGUCUUAACACCCGGAACCCGGCAAAUAUCCCCAGAAGGAGUGCAAGCUAUAUGUGGUUUGGCCGCGUGCACCACCCCCAGCCCCCACCCUGACCCACCUCCAAGCAGCAGCUUUGUUCCUUUUUGGGGAUGGCCGGGCUUUGGAGAAUAUGAGUACCAAAUUUUGGGCUCAUAGCAAAGCCCCUAUAUGAAGCAACAAGGGGGCCUGAAAAUGAGCUAAUGGAAUGGACCCCGGAAAUGAGGAAAGCCUUUGCCAAGUUAAAACAGGUUCUCACCCAGGCUCCUGCUCUUGGUAUCCCAGACCUAAUUAAGGCCUUCUCCUUGUAUGUAGCAGAGAAGAGGGGCAUAGCUGUGGGAGUGCUAGCCCAGAAAUUAGGAUCAGAACCCAGACCAACCGCCUACUUCUCAAAAAAGUUGGACGGAGUGGCCUCAGGAUGGCCAAGUUGCCUGCGGGCAAUAGCAGCCACUGCUGUUAGUGGAGGAAGCCACUAAAAUCACCCUAGGGCAACCACUGGAAGUUCUAACGCUCCAUCAGGUAAAGUUAGUCUUAGAAAUAAAGGGACACAUCUGGAUGACAGGGGAAAUGUUAACUAAAUACCAGCCCAUGCUCCUAGACAAUCCAGAUAUAACUCUUAAAACCUGCAACACUUUAAAUCCAGCUUCAUUGCUGCCCACAGGCCCAAUAAUUGAUCAUUCCUGUGAGCAGGUCAUUGCACAUACAUAUGUUAGCCAGCCUGAUUUAAAAGAUGAGGCUCUCCCAGAUUCUGAAGCUGACCGGCUCACAGACGGCAGUAGUUCUUUGUCGAAUGGGGAGCACAGAGCUGGAUAUGCAGCAGUAAAUCAUGACACAAUUAUUGAAGCCCAGCCAGUGCCCCCUGGCACAUCAGCACAAAAGGCUAAAAUCAUUGAUCUUACUCAAGCAUUAAUGUUGGGACAAGGGAAAAAACUUAACAUCUAUACAGAUUCUAAAUAUGCAUUCCUUGUGGUUCAUGCUCAUACCGCCAUCAGGAAAGAAAGGGGAUUACUUACUAGCAAGCACUCCCCUAUAGAGCAUGGACCUGAAAUUCUGCAGCUAUUGAAGGCAAUACACCUGCCAAAGGCCAUAGCUAUCAUUCAUUGUAGGGGGCAUCAAAGGGACUUAACCCCUAUAGCACAAGGGAAUGGAAAGGCUGACGGAAGCCAAAGCAAAAGCCCUCAGCGUGCAAUCCCAACAGAUCCUAGCACUGCUUCCUUUCUACAAUUCCCCAGUAGAACCCAAAUACACACCACAGGAAGAACAGCUAAUAAAAAAAGCAAGGGAGACAAAAACAAGGAUCCUGGUGGCAUAUGGAGCCAAAAAUAUAUCUCCCUCAGGCAGCCCAGUGGAGAGUUAUAAAAGCCCUGCAUGACUCUUUCCAUGUGGGGAGGGAUGCGGCUCUGGCCAUGGUAAACAAGUUCUUUACUGGGUUUAACUCAGCUUCAAUGGCUAAGCAGGUCUGUCAAGCCUGCUCACUGUGUGCAUUUAACAAUCCAGGCAUCAAAAUGCCCCCUCUAAUAAAACCAGUCCAAAGGAGGGGAACUUAUCCAGGGGAAGACUGGCAGUUAGACGUCAUCCAUAUGCCAGCUUGCAGAGGAUACAAGCUUUUGUUAAUACUAAUAGAUACUUUUAGGUUGGGUCAAAGGUUACCCCAGAAAAGGCUAAUGAGGUUCUAAGGUCCUCUUAAAAGAAAUAAUUCCCCAGUUUGGGUUACCUCAGGGUCUCCAAAGUGAUAAUGGCUAAUCCUUUAUCUCCCAAAUAACUCAAGGGGUUGCUAAGGCUCUUGGAAUAAAAUACUAUUUACAUUCAGCCUGGAGGCCCCAAUCCUCUGGAAAAGUGGAAAGGGUUAACCAAACUCUAAAAUAAGCACUAGCUAAACUAUGUCAGGAAACAUCAGAAACUUGGGUUAGCUUAUUGCUCACAGCCCUUUUAAGAAUUUGUAAUACCCCUAGCUCAAAAAUUAACAGAAGCCCAUAUAAAAUGUUAUACAGAAGGCCAUUCUUAACUAAUGAUUUAAUUAUUGACCCAGAAAGAGUUGGUGUAAUUAAAUACCUAGUCAACCCAGAACAAUUCCAGCGGGUUUACAAGAGUUUGGAAUUCAAAGGCUCCUCACACUUGGAACUAACCAGCAACCCAAAAUCAGGCCAGGAGAUAGGGUACUUGUUAAAACAUGGAAUGAGGGAUCACCUGCCCAACAAUUACAACCCCAAUAGAAGGGACUUUUUUCAGUAAUACUGGCCACGUCUUCUGUGGUCAAAGUACUAGUAUUAGAUAGCUGGAUACAUCUUUCAAGGAUCAAACCAUCAAUACCAGAAGCUCCAGACCAGGAACCUGAAGUUCCCAUCAGCCAGUACACCUGUGAACCAGUGGAGGACCUGAAGUACCUGUUUAAAAGAUAGCCAAAAGAUAAGUAAAUGCCUACCAACUUUCUUUGGUGUCUUUGUUGCAUAGUUACUGUGGGCUGGAAAAUAGUAGCCAUUUUUAUCUUUGCAGUUUAAUUGCCUUCUUCCAAAUAGAUAAAAAUCACUUCCUUUGUAAUAAUUAAACAGAAUUUAAAAAAUACAUUUCUAUGACAAAUAUUCCUGAUGGCAUAAGUAUCCACCCCAAGGUUCCCAUUAAAUCUUUUAACCUAAAGUAUUUCCUCUCACCUAGAGAUCAUCGAGCUGUGUGACAAGGGUGCCAGCCACUCCAGGUGAAGACACCACCCCAGGCCAUCAAGGAUCUUCCCUACCUUCACUAAACAGAGCAGGGUGAAAGUUGUGUGAUCCCCAAUAGGUAGGGACUACACCCCAAGUCAGCAGGAAGCAGUUACAGAAGAAAGACCAUUGGUCCCUCUGCUUCCCAUAAAGAUUUAUGGGGAUCACAGCUUUCACGGGGGAGAUGAGGCAAGAGAAUAGGGCAUGCAGGCAGGGUACUUGAGGCCAAUCCACGCUGACUUCCUAGAACUGAAUUAAAUGAAAGCUCCUCAGCAAUGACAGGAAUGUGAAUGGCUUUGUAACUUCUUCCUCUCCAUUAAUGCUAUUUCCACUUUGUAACUUCACUUUCAUCCUCUCCAUUUACAUAGAUCACACACCAAGUAACAUCCUCUCCAUUUACAGUAGGGCGCAUUCCGAGUCAAUGACUCUGACUGCACUUCGUUCUCCUCAUUUACAUAGAACAUUCGCCAAGUAACCAAUGGGAAACCUCUAGAGUAUUGAAACUCCAGAAAAUUCCGUAAGUGGGGCUCUUGAGCGUCUACACUCGGGUCGCUCCCACACUGUGGCGUGUACUUUUAUUCUCAAUAAAUUCCCGCUUUUGCUUUCCUCGUUCUGUUUGAGUGUUUUGUCCAAUUCUUUGUUUGAGGCGCCAAGAACCUGGACACCUUCUACCAGUGACACUACCAAUUUUUGAUUCCAUUAAAGAUCACAG